GGAAUCUAGAAGCUUCAGCUGUUAGGAGGAAAAGUUUUUGAUACCAUCUUAAGUUAUCAUCAAUACCAAAAGUUUAAGAUGUUCGGGAAGUGGACCUCACCAUGUACAUCAAGUUGGCACUAGCACACACUUUUAACAACUGCCAUAUUCCUGAUUGAUGCUACCAGUGCAGCUACCAUAUUUAGAUAUGCCUGGUUUCUUGCAAUUCACAUUACUUGUUUUGUGUUGUAGCGGAAUUUAUGUCAUAUCCAUAUAUUUGCAUUUUAAACCUGCCUAAUAUGUGCAUUUUUAACCUGCCUAAUAUGUGCAUAGAUUCUUUACAGAACUGUUGGUCGUAUAGAUUUUAUUCUCAUGUGAUAUAUAAAAUUGCGCUUUUUUUUGGUAUAUGAUACCGUCAACAAUUCAACAUAGCGUGAACAUUCUUCUUAUGUUGCAUAACAGGUGAAGAUGCUCCGGGUGAUGAAUUGGUGGGCUUCAUUGUGGCUGCCCAGAUAGCUGAGAGAUUUGAGAAGGAUACUGAUGAUACAAGUCGUAAUGAUGAAGAAAAAAAUGAGAUGUGGAAACUUCUUGUUGACUAUGAAACAGGACACUGGAACAGUCUGAUGAUUUCAGCUAUUUUAGCUCA